UGUGUGUGUGUGUGUGUGUGCGUGCGUGCGUGCAAAAGAGGUCAUUUGGAACCACCCUUGUGUGAUGUAACCUUGCCAGAGAACUGAUGACUUGCGGUAGCUCCCCAGGCUCAGUCUUGUGGCGUGCAGAAGACCCGGGUUCAAAACCCUGGUCAGUUACGGCUACAAACACAGUGAACUACUGUAGCUCCAAGACUGGAGUAAUUUAAUUCCCACAGGGAUCACUUAGACAUACUGAAAACAUAUGUAUUCACUUCAGUGGAUAAAAACAUCUAAUUGACAUAUACAAUAUAUAUUACUUGGAUUUGACCGUGUAUUAUUUGCUUAUAUAACUAUAUCCCUUUGAGAAUUGACUAAAUAAGGAAGAUGGCUAUCUAAGAUGGCUUCCAUCACCCAUCUGCUACAUCCAACAAAGACACUUCCGGUCUUACCCAGAGCGACUUAUCAUACCCGUCCCUCGGGGGGAAUCAAAUCCACAACCCUGGAGUUGCAACCGUCAUGCUCUACCAACUGAGCUACACGGGACCAGACUGACUGACUGACUGAGACUGUCUGUCUGUCUGAAGAUUGUGAUCUUGUGGAAAACAUUGUUCUAUCUAGAACAUCGGUCGAAUCUCCUGUAUGUUACUGGGCGUACGUAUCAAGUGUCUCAGAGUUCUGAUUUAGGAUCAAUUCAGAUCACAGUGCCUAAGAUUACAUGUAUGGGGGGGGGGGCUGAUUCUAGGUCAGCACUCUCACUAUGAAACUGAUGUGAACCUGCUCUUUUCCCCAUCCUUCCCUCUUUCUCCCAGACUGAAAGAGGCUCAGCUGUCGGUGAAGAAGAUUACAGCAGACAAGAAGGUGGAAACUAGGAAGAUCAUCCCUAACAGCCUGAAAGAGAGACUGCGCCAGAAAGAAGCAAACAUGGUGGCCACAAGCUGAGAGACAGAACAGAGAAGAACAGGAAAGAGAAGAGAAGACAUUAAUGAAAAGAGUGAUGGUUUGAUGUGUGACAGGACUGGGGACUCCUCCCACCUUCUCCCGUCACCGCCCCUUAGCCACCCACACAGGACUGGGGACUCCUCCCACCUUCUCCCGUCACCGCCCCUUAGCCACCCACACAGGACUGGGGACUCCUCCCACCUUCUCCCGUCACCGCCCCAUAGCCACCCACACAGGACUGGGGACUCCUCCCACCUUCUCCCGUCACCGCCCCUUAGCCACCCACACAGGACUGGGGACUCCUCCCACCUUCUCCCGUCACCGCCCCUUAGCCACCCACACAGGACUGGGGACUCCUCCCACCUUCUCCCGUCACCGCCCCUUAGCCACCCACACAGGACUUGGGACUCCUCCCACCUUCUCCCGACACCACCCCUUAGCCACCCACACAGGACUGGGGACUCCUCCCACCUUCUCCCGUCACCGCCCCUUAGCCACCCACACAGGACUGGGGACUCCUCUUAGCCACCCACACAGGACUGGGGACUCCUCCCACCUUCUCCCGUCAACGCCCCUUAGCCACCCACACAGGACUGGGGACUCCUCCCACCUUCUCCCAUCACUGCCCCUUAGCCACCCACACAGGACUGGGGACUCCUCUCACCUUCUCCCGUCACCGCCCCUUAGCCACCCACACAGGACUGGGGACUCCUCCCACCUUCUCCCGUCACCGCCCCUUAGCCACCCACACAGGACUGGGGACUCCUCUUAGCCACCCACACAGGACUGGGGACUCCUCCUACCUUCUCCCGUCACCGCCCCUUAGCCACCCACACAGGACUGGGGACUCCUCCCACCUUCUCCCGUCACCGCCCCUUAGCCACCCACACAGGACUGGGGACUCCUCCCACCUUCUCCCGUCACCGCCCCUUAGCUACCCACACAGGACUGGGGACUCCUCCCACCUUCUCCCGUCACCGCCCCUUAGCCACCCACACAGGACUGGGGACUCCUCCCACCUUCUCCCGUCACCACCCCUUAGCCACCCACACAGGACUGGGUACUCCUCCCACCUUCUCCCGUCACCGCCCCUUAGCCACCCACACAGGACUUGGGACUCCUCCCACCUUCUCCCGACACCGCCCCCUAGCCACCCACACAGGACUGGGGACUCCUCCCACCUUCUCCCGUCACCGCCCCUUAGCCACCCACACAGGACUUGGGACUCCUCCCACCUUCUCCCGUCACCGCCCCUUAGCCACCCACACAGGACUGGGGACUCCUCCCACCUUCUCCCGUCACCGCCCCUUAGCCACCCACACAGGACUAGGGGCUCCUCCGACGUUCUCUCGUCACCGCCCCUUAGCCACCCACACAGGACUUGGGACUCCUCCCACCUUCUCCCGACACCGCCCCCUAGCCACCCACACAGGACUGGGGACUCCUCCCACCUUCUCCCGUCACCGCCCCUUAGCCACCCACACAGGACUGGGGACUCCUCCCACCUUCUCCCGUCACCGCCCCUUAGCCACCCACACAGGACUGGGGACUCCUCCCACCUUCUCCCGUCACCGCCCCUUAGCCACCCACACAGGACUGGGGACUCCUCUUAGCCACCCACACAGGACUGGGGACUCCUCCCACCUUCUCCCGUCACCGCCCCUUAGCCACCCACACAGGACUUGGGACUCCUCCCACCUUCUCCCGUCACCGCCCUUAGCCACCCACACAGGACUGGGUACUCCUCCCACCUUCUCCCGUCACCGCCCCUUAGCCACCCACACAGGACUGGGGACUCCUCCCACCUUCUCCCGUCACCGCCCCUUAGCCACCCACACAGGACUGGGGACUCCUCCCACCUUCUCCCGUCACCGCCCCUUAGCCACCC
ensembl:lncRNA